rnacentral:rRNA from 1 species
AUGGGAACCCAUCUUUCUUUCAGUACCGCUUUCCACCAUCAGUCAAGUGGUCAGGUGGAAAGGGUCAACCAAAUUCUCGAAGACAUGCUUAGAGCUUGCGUUAUCUCAUUCGGUAUGGAUUGGGAGAAAUGUCUUCCCUUUGCCGAGUUUGCUUAUAAAAAUAGCCACCAAUCCAGUCUUAAGAAAGCACCCUUCAAGAUUCUGUAUGGACGAAGAUGUCGAACACCUUUGAACUGGUCAGAAACCGGUGAAAGACAAUUCUUUGGACCGGGUAUGAUCCAGGAGGCAGAAGAGAAAGUUCGUAUCAUUCGUGAGAAUUUGAAAACCGCCCAAUCUCGUCAAAAGAGCCAGUAUGACCGUCGUCAUAAGGAAGUGGCUUAUGAAGUUGACGACAAGGCUUACCUUUGGGUUACUCCUUUGAAGGCUACCCAUCGUUUCGUUAUCAACGGCAAGUUGGCUCCUCGUUACAUUGGUCCUUUUUGCAUUCUCGCUAAGCGAGGAGAGGUUGCCUACCAGUUGGAACUACCCCCACAUCUUUCUCGAGUUCAUGAUGUCUUCCACGUCUCUCAACUCAGGCGUUGCUUCUCGGAUCCCAUCCGUGGAGUGGACCACAAAUCGCUUGAUCUCCAAGAUAAUCUCACUUAUCGAGAGUACCCCGUUCGCAUUCUGGAUCAAGCAGAGCGUGUCACUCGACGUCAUAACAUCAAGUUUCUCAAGGUUCAGUGGUCUCAUCAUGCCGAGAGAGAAGCUACUUGGGAGCGAGAAAAUCGUCUUCGACUUGAGUACCCUGCUUUCUUUCUGCCAACUCCUGAAUCUCGGGAUGAGAUUUUUUCGAGUGGGGGCGAGUUGUCACAUCCCUAG